GAGGAUAUAGCUCAAUGGUAGAGCGCAGCUAGCACAAAGCCCUGGGUUCAAGACCCAGAAUCCCCC
rnacentral:tRNA from 2 species